rnacentral:rRNA from 1 species
GAUGAACGCUGGCGGCGUGCCUAAUACAUGCAAGUCGAGCGAACAGAUGAGGAGCUUGCUCCUCUGACGUUAGCGGCGGACGGGUGAGUAACACGUGGAUAACCUACCUAUAAGACUGGGAUAACUUCGGGAAACCGGAGCUAAUACCGGAUAAUAUAUUGAACCGCAUGGUUCAAUAGUGAAAGACGGUUUUGCUGUCACUUAUAGAUGGAUCCGCGCCGCAUUAGCUAGUUGGUAAGGUAACGGCUUAUCAAGGCAACGAUGCGUAGCCGACCUGAGAGAGUGAUCGGCCACACUGGAACUGGGACACGGUCCAGACUCCUACGGGAGGCAGCAGUAGGGAAUCUUCCGCAAUGGGCGAAAGCCUGACGGAGCAACGCCGCGUGAGUGAUGAAGGUCUUCGGAUCGUAAAACUCUGUUAUUAGGGAAGAACAAAUGUGUAAGUAACUAUGCACGUCUUGACGGUACCUAAUCAGAAAGCCACGGCUAACUACGUG